CCUACGGGAGGCAGCAGUGGGGAAUAUUGCACAAUGGGGGGAACCCUGAUGCAGCAACGCCGCGUGAGUGAAGAAGUACCUCGGUAUGUAAAGCUCUAUCAGCAGGGAAGAAAAUGACGGUACCUGACCAAGAAGCACCGGCUAAAUACGUGCCAGCAGCCGCGGUAAUACGUAUGGUGCAAGCGUUAUCCGGAUUUACUGGGUGUAAAGGGAGCGCAGGCGGCGCGGCAAGUCAGAUGUGAAAGCCCGGGGCUCAACCCCGGGACUGCAUUUGAAACUGCCGGGCUAGAGUAUCGGAGAGGCAAGUGGAAUUCCUAGUGUAGCGGUGAAAUGCGUAGAUAUUAGGAGGAACACCAGUGGCGAAGGCGGCUUGCUGGACGAUCACUGACGCUGAGGCUCGAAAGCGUGGGGAGCAAACAGGAUUAGAUACCCUGGUAGUC
rnacentral:rRNA from 1 species